AACGCGAAGAACCUUACCAGGACUUGACAUCCUUCUGACAGGACCUUAACCGGUCCCUCCUUGGGGCAGAAGAGACAGGUGGUGCAUGGUUGUCGUCAGCUCGUGUCGUGAGAUGUUGGGUUAAGUCCCGCAACGAGCGCAACCCUUGUCAUUAGUUGCCAUCAUUAAGGGGGCCAUUUUAGAGAGACUGCCGGGGAUAAACUGGGAGGAGGGGGGGGAUGACGUCAAAUCAUCAUGCCCCUUAUGUUUUGGGUUACACACGUGUCACAAGGGGUGGUACAAAGAGACGCAAGACCGCGAGGGGGAGCAAAUUUUCAAAACCAGUCCCCCUCAGGAUUGUAGGCUGAAACUCCGCCUGCAUGAAGUUGGAUUU
rnacentral:rRNA from 1 species